GAGGGUAUAGCUCAGCAGUAGAGUGCAUGCUUAGCAUGCACAAGGUCCUGGGUUCAAUCCCCAGUACCUCCA
rnacentral:tRNA from 1 species